rnacentral:lncRNA from 12 species
GACUCCCAGAACAUUAGAGCCCAAACCCUAUGCCUCUUCCCUUUCUCAAGUCUGAGAGGCGGCUUUAUUAAUAAAAGAAAAAACUUAAUAAUCGGCCCUGGGGUUUUCCGAGGGCCGCUCAAGAAAACCAGGAAGUACCUCCUCCCGCAGAGACGGCUCACUCCCAGCCCACAGCCCACAGCCCACAGCCCACAGCCCACCGCCCGGGGCUCCCGGCCGGCCGGGCGGACGGACCCACUCGGAAGGCUCGGCUCGCAGCCGGGAAGUCGCCAGCAGCCCCGGGGUCUUCUCGGGGCGGCCUCGGUGGCCCACGGCCCCGGAACCCCGGGGCGGGGAGGGGGGUCGCCACGGACCCGCUCAGUACCUGUUGAAACCCAGGGACGAAAGGUCCUCUCCGCAGAGAGUAUCUGGGAAGAGGGCCCAAGGCGGGCACGCAGCCCGCAGCACAACAGGGCCUCGGAGGAUCCCCGCAACCCCGGGCCCGCAGGGGUCGAAGGGCCGCAGCUUCCAGCAACCUCCGCCCCGGGCGCAGACCCGCCCCCAGCGUCACGUGAGAGAAAAGAAAUACCGACCCAGACUAAAGGAGAUUCCACAAUGAAGCUUUCCAUGGUUUCCUGUUGGAUUGGAAGCUCCCCAAGGACAAGAGCCAUAUCAUACCUCUACCUAUCUGAACUUAAAAUUUAGAAAAGUUCCUUGUAAGGAUCUCUGUAAAUAUGUACUAAUGAUGAUGAUGAUGAUGAUGAUGAUGAUGAUGAUGAUAUGGUGCUGGUGGUGAUGAAGAAGCUUAACCAGAUGUUUUGGGAAAUAGAAUUCGUGACUCAUGGUUUGUAAACAAAAUGAUCUUCAUCAAGCCCCCAAUUAAACUGAGAGUCAAGACUCCAAGUUAAGUUCCUUCUCUGAUAUCUAUCUAUUAAUUCUUGAUCUGGAAUUUAAUACUGAAAAUUAUACUUGUUCAUUCAUCUAUUACUGAGACACUUGAGUUAUCUUGGCUAUCAUAAAUAAG